GACAGAGGGUGCAAACGUUGUUCGGAAUUACUGGGCGUAAAGCGUGCGCAGGCGGUUUUGCAAGCCGGAUGUGAAAUCCCCGGGCUUAACCUGGGAAUGGCAUUUGGGACUGCAAGGCUGGAGUGCGGCAGAGGAGACUGGAAUUCCUGGUGUAGCAGUGAAAUGCGUAGAUAUCAGGAGGAACACCGAUGGCGAAGGCAGGUCUCUGGGCUGACACUGACGCUCAUGCACGAAAGCGUGGGGAGCAAACAGG
rnacentral:rRNA from 1 species